CCGACGGUGAGGGACGAAAGCUGGGGGAGCAAACCGGAUUAGAUACCCGGGUAGUCCCAGCCGUAAACGAUGUGCGUUAGGUGUAUCGGUGACCACGAGUCACCGAGGUGCCGAAGAGAAAUCGUGAAACGUACCGCCUGGGAAGUACGGUCGCAAGGCUGAAACUUAAAGGAAUUGGCGGGGGAGCACCACAACAGGUGGAGCCUGCGGUUUAAUCGGACUCAACGCCGGGAAACUCACCAGAUAAGACAGCUGAAUGAUAGUCGGGCUGAAGACUCUACUUGACUAGCUGAGAGGAGGUGCAUGGCCGUCGUCAGUUCAUACUGUGAAGCAUCCUGUUAAGUC
rnacentral:rRNA from 1 species